rnacentral:rRNA from 1 species
AACGAACGCUGGCGGCAGGCCUAACACAUGCAAGUCGAGCGGACCUUCGGGGUCAGCGGCGGACGGGUGAGUAACGCGUGGGAAUAUGCCCUUCUCUACGGAAUAGUCCUGGGAAACUGGGGGUAAUACCGUAUACGCCCUUUGGGGGAAAGAUUUAUCGGGGAAGGAUUAGCCCGCGUUGGAUUAGGUAGUUGGUGGGGUAAUGGCCUACCAAGCCGACGAUCCAUAGCUGGUUUGAGAGGAUGAUCAGCCACACUGGGACUGAGACACGGCCCAGACUCCUACGGGAGGCAGCAGUGGGGAAUCUUAGACAAUGGGGGCAACCCUGAUCUAGCCAUGCCGCGUGAGUGAUGAAGGCCUUAGGGUUGUAAAGCUCUUUCA